GAUGAACGCUGGCGGCGUGCCUAAUACAUGCAAGUCGAGCGAACAGACGAGGAGCUUGCUCCUCUGAUGUUAGCGGCGGACGGGUGAGUAACACGUGGAUAACCUACCUAUAAGACUGGGAUAACUUCGGGAAACCGGAGCUAAUACCGGAUAACAUGUUGAACCGCAUGGUUCAACAGUGAAAGACGGUCUUGCUGUCACUUAUAGAUGGAUCCGCGCCGCAUUAGCUAGUUGGUAAGGUAACGGCUUACCAAGGCAACGAUGCGUAGCCGACCUGAGAGGGUGAUCGGCCACACGGGAACUGAGACACGGUACAGACUCCUACGGGAGGCAGCAGUAGGGAAUCUUCCGCAAUGGGCGAAAGCCUGACGGAGCAACGCCGCGUGAGUGAAGAAGGUCUUCGGAUCGUAAAACUCUGUUAUUAGGGAAGAACAAAUGUGUAAGUAACUAUGCACGUCUUGACGGUACCUAAUCAGAAAGCCACGGCUAACUACGUG
rnacentral:rRNA from 1 species